AGGUCUGCUAGUGGAUGACAUGCAGGAAUCACCAUACCCAAUUUCAGAAUCAGCAAAAAGAAACCAGAUCAAGGAUACCCCUGGAAGUUUGAACUCUGGUGACUUGAUUCCAGAGCUUCAGAUAUUUCCUUAUUGAGAAGAGCAUUGAAUUGGAAAGCUCCAGAAGAUGAGAACUGGCUGACAAACUGGCUGUCAGGUCUAGAUGGAAGAAAGAAGCUGAUCAAUCCAGAAGUGCUUGUUGGAGGUGUGGCUCAAGUGGGAAAGGUGGCAACUAGAAUGUACAUGGACUUUCUUAGAAAGGCUACUAAUAUGUCUAACAUCAGUUUGUCAGUUGCCAGAAGUAAGUGCUCAGCUGACUGUCUUAAUAACUUUGUUUAUCUUAAAGGCAUGAGAAUGCAUGACAGAAUCAUAUGGUGGGCAAGGUAUUGUUUACAACCAAGAUGCCUAUAGAUGUGGAAUGGGUUACAUUUUCAGUACCAGAACCACCUUGCAGGGUCACAUCAGAAGCAGGAAGCCUGAACAAACAGCUUUUCCAAAAGGAGAAAUAACAGUUAAGGAUGGUGAGGAAGGCAGAAAACUUUGAAAGACUAGCAGAUGAUAGAGACAAUUUAGGAAGUACCAGUGAAUUUGACUAAGAAAUUUUGUCUGUGAAAAGGGAUUCUGAGGACCGAAGAGAACAUUUAAUAUAAUCUCAGUGUUGUUUGUAAUGAGAUUUGUGGGUUGGAAUGUAGCUCAGUGGCAAAGCACUUGCCAAGUAAAUACAGUGUCCUGGGUUUGAUAUCCAGUACC